AGCAGACCCAGGAGGAACUGUCUGUUGAAGACCCCCCCCCCCACCAAGCUGCCCACCAGAGGCCAAGCUGUACUUGGUGUUUGCCAACAUGCUGUAAUUUCCAGCCUGGUUGCUGUAGCCACAGAGGAAUUUUCAAGGACAAGAACCAGUGCUGGUAAAACUGUGGUCUCUGUGGUUUUCCAUACCGGCUCUCGGCAAGGAUUUUCAAGAAAGGAAUACCAUCUCCAAAUCAUGAUGUGCCAAUAAGCUCCAGUUAGCUGCGGCCUUUUCCCCAGGCGGUAGUCCUGCAAUCUGAAUCCAGGAGAUGCAGCUCUGAAUCCAAUAUUUCAG